GGUUAAGCGACUAAGCGUACACGGUGGAUGCCCUGGCAGUCAGAGGCGAUGAAGGACGUGCUAAUCUGCGAAAAGCGUCGGUAAGGUGAUAUGAACCGUUACAGCCGGCGAUGUCCGAAUGGGGAAACCCAGUGCAAUUCGUUGCACUAUCGUUUGAUGAAUACAUAGUCAAACGAGGCGAACCGGGGGAACUGAAACAUCUAAGUACCCCGAGGAAAAGAAAUCAACCGAGAUUCCCCCAGUAGCGGCGAGCGAACGGGGAGCAGCCCGGAGUCUGAAUCAGCUUGUGUGUUAGUGGAAGCGUCUGGAAAGUCGCAGGGUACAGGGUGAUACUCCCGUACACUAAAACACACAGGUUGUGAACUCGAAGAGUAGGGCGGGACACGUGGUAUCCUGUCUGAAUAUGGGGGGACCAUCCUCCAAGGCUAAAUACUCCUGACUGACCGAUAGUGAACCAGUACCGUGAGGGAAAGGCGAAAAGAACCCCGGCGAGGGGAGUGAAAAAGAACCUGAAACCGUGUACGUACAAGCAGUAGGAGCCCACUUGUGGGGUGACUGCGUACCUUUUGUAUAAUGGGUCAGCGACUUAUAUUCUGUAGCAAGGUUAACCGUAUAGGGGAGCCGCAGGGAAACCGAGUCUUAACUGGGCGUUAAGUUGCAGGGUAUAGACCCGAAACCCGGUGAUCUAGCCAUGGGCAGGUUGAAGGUUGGGUAACACUAACUGGAGGACCGAACCGACUAAUGUUGAAAAAUUAGCGGAUGACUUGUGGCUGGGGGUGAAAGGCCAAUCAAACCGGGAGAUAGCUGGUUCUCCCCGAAAGCUAUUUAGGUAGCGCCUCGUGAACUCAUCUUCGGGGGUAGAGCACUGUUUCGGCUAGGGGGUCAUCCCGACUUACCAACCCGAUGCAAACUACGAAUACCGAAGAAUGUUAUCACGGGAGACACACGGCGGGUGCUAACGUCCGUCGUGAAGAGGGAAACAACCCAGACCGCCAGCUAAGGUCCCAAAGUCAUGGUUAAGUGGGAAACGAUGUGGGAAGGCCCAGACAGCCAGGAUGUUGGCUUAGAAGCAGCCAUCAUUUAAAGAAAGCGUAAUAGCUCACUGGUCGAGUCGGCCUGCGCGGAAGAUGUAACGGGGCUAAACCAUGCACCGAAGCUGCGGCAGCGACACUAUGUGUUGUUGGGUAGGGGAGCGUUCUGUAAGCCGUUGAAGGUGGCCUGUGAGGGUUGCUGGAGGUAUCAGAAGUGCGAAUGCUGACAUAAGUAACGAUAAUGCGGGUGAAAAACCCGCACGCCGGAAGACCAAGGGUUCCUGUCCAACGUUAAUCGGGGCAGGGUGAGUCGACCCCUAAGGCGAGGCCGAAAGGCGUAGUCGAUGGGAAACAGGUUAAUAUUCCUGUACUCGGUGUUACUGCGAAGGGGGGACGGAGAAGGCUAUGUUGGCCGGGCGACGGUUGUCCCGGUUUAAGCAUGUAGGCGGAUGUUCCAGGUAAAUCCGGAACGUUAUUAACGCUGAGGUGUGAUGACGAGGCACUACGGUGCUGAAGUGACAAAUGCCCUGCUUCCAGGAAAAGCCUCUAAGCAUCAGGUAACAUCAAAUCGUACCCCAAACCGACACAGGUGGUCAGGUAGAGAAUACCAAGGCGCUUGAGAGAACUCGGGUGAAGGAACUAGGCAAAAUGGUGCCGUAACUUCGGGAGAAGGCACGCUGAUGGUAGGUGAAGUGACUUGCUCAUGGAGCUGAAAUCAGUCGAAGAUACCAGCUGGCUGCAACUGUUUAUUAAAAACACAGCACUGUGCAAACACGAAAGUGGACGUAUACGGUGUGACGCCUGCCCGGUGCCGGAAGGUUAAUUGAUGGGGUUAUCCGUAAGGAGAAGCUCUUGAUCGAAGCCCCGGUAAACGGCGGCCGUAACUAUAACGGUCCUAAGGUAGCGAAAUUCCUUGUCGGGUAAGUUCCGACCUGCACGAAUGGCGUAAUGAUGGCCAGGCUGUCUCCACCCGAGACUCAGUGAAAUUGAACUCGCUGUGAAGAUGCAGUGUACCCGCGGCAAGACGGAAAGACCCCGUGAACCUUUACUAUAGCUUGACACUGAACACUGGUCCUUGAUGUGUAGGAUAGGUGGGAGGCUUUGAAGUGUGGACGCCAGUCUGCAUGGAGCCAUCCUUGAAAUACCACCCUUUAAUGGCUGGUGUUCUAACGUGGGCCCCUAAUCGGGGUUGCGGACAGUGUCUGGUGGGUAGUUUGACUGGGGCGGUCUCCUCCUAAAGAGUAACGGAGGAGCACGAAGGUCAGCUAAUCCUGGUCGGACAUCAGGAGGUUAGUGCAAUGGCAUAAGCUGGCUUGACUGCGAGCGUGACGGCGCGAGCAGGUGCGAAAGCAGGUCAUAGUGAUCCGGUGGUUCUGAAUGGAAGGGCCAUCGCUCAACGGAUAAAAGGUACUCCGGGGAUAACAGGCUGAUACCGCCCAAGAGUUCAUAUCGACGGCGGUGUUUGGCACCUCGAUGUCGGCUCAUCACAUCCUGGGGCUGAAGUAGGUCCCAAGGGUAUGGCUGUUCGCCAUUUAAAGUGGUACGCGAGCUGGGUUUAGAACGUCGUGAGACAGUUCGGUCCCUAUCUGCCGUGGGCGCUGGAGAAUUGAGGGGGGCUGCUCCUAGUACGAGAGGACCGGAGUGGACGCAUCACUGGUGUUCGGGUUGUCAUGCCAAUGGCAUUGCCCGGUAGCUAAAUGCGGAAGAGAUAAGUGCUGAAAGCAUCUAAGCACGAAACUUGCCCCGAGAUGAGUUCUCCCUGACCCUUUAAGGGUCCUGAAGGAACGUUGAAGACGACGACGUUGAUAGGCCGGGUGUGUAAGCGCAGCGAUGCGUUGAGCUAACCGGUACUAAUGAACCGUGAGGCUUAACCUU
rnacentral:rRNA from 1 species